rnacentral:misc_RNA from 1 species
UCCGGCUUGGCGCCGGCAGUCUCCCUAGAGUCCCCACCAUUACGUGCUGGCAACUAAGGACGGGGGUUGCGCUCGUUGCGGGACUUAACCCAACACCUCACGACACGAGCUGACGACAGCCAUGCAGCACCUGUCCUGGAGUCCCGAAGGAGGGCCCCUGUUUCCAGGGGCUUUCACGUGCAUGUCAAGCCCAGGUAAGGUUCUUCGCGUUGCUUCGAAUUAAACCACAUGCUCCACCGCUUGUGCGGGCCCCCGUCAGUUCCUUUGAGUUUUAACCUUGCGGCCGUACUCCCCAGGCGGUGGGCUUAACGCGUUAGCUGCGACACCGAGGGGCAAGCCCCCCGACGUCUAGCCCACAUCGUUUAGGGCGUGGACUAC